ensembl:lncRNA
AUGUGUGUUUAUUGUCAGAAUAUGGCCAGGGCAGAUAUAGAGAUGGACAUUCAGAGACACGAGGACUCGGCGGGAGGAAGACACGGUGAUGAAGGGCCGCUCAUCAAGUACUACAGGGCCAGUGAAGUUCUGCCGGGCCCCGUGCCGGCUCUGCAGGGGCUCCUCAGGAAGGGACCGGCCACCUGCGCGGCCAUUCAAUCAUCCAGUGGGAUCCUGAGUUUUGGGAUCGGGGUUGUGUUUGCAGUGUCGUUCGGGAUCGGUGAUUAUUUACUGACUUUAUUCCGAGUUCCCAUCAUUACUGGAAUAAUGUUUGUCAUUGCUGGAAUCUUGUCUAAUCUUCUGUACAAACAUCCCAAUCUUCUACAGACUUGUUUCAUUGCUAACAUCGGGUGUCUGGCCGUGUCUGGGAUCGGAGUGAUUCUCCUGAUUGUUGACCUUCAACCAGGUGGAAAUAUGAUCCAGGACAAGAUGGAGGUCCUGGUGCUGUGUGUGACUCUGAUGGACAUGCUCAUCGCUGCGGUGCUCAUAUACUGGUUUUACAGAGAGAAGCGUGACCAUAAACAGUGA